GACGAACGCUGGCGGCGUGCUUAACACAUGCAAGUCGAACGGAAAGGCCCUGCUUUUGUGGGGUGCUCGAGUGGCGAACGGGUGCGUAACACGUGAGUAACCUGCCCUUGACUUUGGGAUAACUUCAGGAAACUGGGGCUAAUACCGGAUAGGAGCUCCUGCUGCAUGGUGGGGGUUGGAAAGUUUCGGCGGUUGGGGAUGGACUCGCGGCUUAUCAGCUUGUUGGUGGGGUAGUGGCUUACCAAGGCUUUGACGGGUAGCCGGCCUGAGAGGGUGACCGGCCACAUUGGGACUGAGAUACGGCCCGGACGCCUUCGUGAGGCAGCAGUGGGGAAUAUUGCACAAUGGGCGGAAGCCUGAUGCAGCAACGCCGCGUGCGGGAUGACGGCCUUCGGGUUGUAAACCGCUUUCGCCUGUGACGAAGCGUGAGUGACGGUAAUGGGUAAAGAAGCACCGGCUAACUACUU
rnacentral:rRNA from 1 species